AACGCACGAGACCUGCGGACCUGCGGAAGGAUCAUUACAAGUGACCCCGGUCUAACCACCGGGAUGUUCAUAACCCUUUGUUGUCCGACUCUGUUGCCUCCGGGGCGACCCUGCCUUCGGGCGGGGGCUCCGGGUGGACACUUCAAACUCUUGCGUAACUUUGCAGUCUGAGUAAACUUAAUUAAUAAAUUAAAACUUUUAACAAUGGAUCUCU
rnacentral:misc_RNA from 1 species